rnacentral:rRNA from 1 species
UACGUAGGGUGCAGGCGUUGUCCGGAAUUAUUGGGCGUAAAGAGCUCGUAGGCGGUCUGUCGCGUCUGCUGUGAAAACUCGGGGCUUAACCCCGGGCCUGCAGUGGGUACGGGCAGACUAGAGUGCGGUAGGGGAGACUGGAAUUCCUGGUGUAGCGGUGAAAUGCGCAGAUAUCAGGAGGAACACCGAUGGCGAAGGCAGGUCUCUGGGCCACUACUGACGCUGAGAAGCGAAAGCAUGGGGAGCGAACAGG